CCUGGCUCAGGAUGAACGCUAGCUACAGGCUUAACACAUGCAAGUCGAGGGGAAACGACAUCGAAAGCUUGCUUUUGAUGGGCGUCGACCGGCGCACGGGUGAGUAACGCGUAUCCAACCUGCCCACCACUUGGGGAUAACCUUGCGAAAGUAAGACUAAUACCCAAUGAUAUCUCUAGAAGACAUCUGAAAGAGAUUAAAGAUUUAUCGGUGAUGGAUGGGGAUGCGUCUGAUUAGCUUGUUGGCGGGGUAACGGCCCACCAAGGCGACGAUCAGUAGGGGUUCUGAGAGGAAGGUCCCCCACAUUGGAACUGAGACACGGUCCAAACUCCUACGGGAGGCAGCAGUGAGGAAUAUUGGUCAAUGGGCGAGAGCCUGAACCAGCCAAGUAGCGUGCAGGAUGACGGCCCUAUGGGUUGUAAACUGCUUUUAUAAGGGAAUAAAGUGAGUCUCGUGAGACUUUUUGCAUGUACCUUAUGAAUAAGGACCGGCUAAUUCCGUGCCAGCAGCCGCGGUAAUACGGAAGGUCCGGGCGUUAUCCGGAUUUAUUGGGUUUAAAGGGAGCGUAGGCCGGAGAUUAAGCGUGUUGUGAAAUGUAGAUGCUCAACAUCUGAACUGCAGCGCGAACUGGUUUCCUUGAGUACGCACAAAGUGGGCGGAAUUCGUGGUGUAGCGGUGAAAUGCUUAGAUAUCACGAAGAACUCCGAUUGCGAAGGCAGCUCACUGGAGCGCAACUGACGCUGAAGCUCGAAAGUGCGGGUAUCGAACAGGAUUAGAUACCCUGGUAGUCCGCACGGUAAACGAUGGAUGCCCGCUGUUGGUCUGAAUAGGUCAGCGGCC
rnacentral:rRNA from 1 species